GCCCGGUUAGCUCAAUUGGAUAGAGCGUGAGACUCUUAAUCUCAAGGUUGCGGGUGAGUAACAGCAUGUUCGACACACUGACGAAGCA